CACCUCACGUGGAGCGCUGGACUGGGCUGGGCAGCGACGCGGGGUCUCAGGGCCCCGUGC
rnacentral:miRNA from 1 species